UGGCUCCAAGAAGAUUUAAAACAUUUUACAUUGUAUAAUAAAAAACUUUUUAAAUUGAAAAGAAAACAGACAGAACAACAAUGAUCUUUCAAAGAACAGCAAUUAAAGAAUACAAAUUGAUGUUAUCAGAAGCAAUAAACAAAUUAACAGCUCAUUCCUACAUUGCAAAAUGUCAAGCAAGAUACUUAAGACAACAAAAUGUCAAACAAGAUACCUAAAGCAACAAAAUAUCAAGCAAGAUACGUAAGGCAACACAAAGAAGAGUCGGUAAAAGACUGUCUUAGUUAAAAGAUUAUUUAAAGUGAUUUUGCAGAAAACAGUAAAGUUUGAAGUUUAGGCACAAAUAGUUAAUUAUUUAAAAGAUAAUCAUCCUAAUAUUUCAAAGAUUUUUUAUUUUUUAGAUGGUUGUGCUGCGCAGUAUAAAAACCGCAAAAACCCUUAUAACAUCUGUUUCCAUGGCUAUAAUGCCAGAAUCGAGUUUGUGAAAAUGUUCUAGAACUGAAUUGUCUAAAAACUGUUUAGAAUUGAAAAAGAUUUAAUUAAUAUCUAGAAUCGAAUUUAUUGAACAUAGAAGGAGAUGAUCCAAUAUCAUUAGAAGUUUAAUGAAACUAAAAACUGAAUUACUUUUCAUAGCCAAUUAAUUUAGAAUCAAAUUUUUUUACAAUCAAAUUUGUAAUUUCAAAACUUAAGUACUUUUCAUAGCCGAUUAAUUUAGCAUGGAAUUUUUUUAGAAUCGAAUUUAUUCACUAUUGUAAUUUUAAUGCAUGUGUGAUGUUGUUGCAGUUGAAAGACAACAUAAUUUUUUCAAACUGAUUUUUGUGUUAAAGGUUAACAUGUUCAUGAUUCUGCAAAAAAUGGUUUUUAUUAUUUUUUAAAAUAAUAUAUUUUAUUUGUUACAAAUUUUUAUGUAAACAUAAAAAAUGCAUUUGUUGCAUGUGUAAAUAAAUAUAGCUUUGUUUAAAUUUAAAAUAGCAAAAUGGAAUGCAGAAAAUUGAAGGUGACAAACAGAAAAUAUUUGUGUAUGUUGUAAGGGACUUUAGCUACAUCAAAAAUAAGGAAAACAAUGGUUUUGUAUGUCUCCAGUGUAAGCACCAUCAACUUUGUGACGGUAGUGAAAAAAUAAUUUUGUCAACUAAUUUACUUAAGAGAAUACAUGGUCACACUUCUGGAACUAGACCUCAAAAUUUUGAUCACCUUCCAGCUCUUGAGAAAAUGCAAGACAUGGCUACAACUACACAGCUACCUUUACUUGAAAUCUACAACAAUGUCAUCCAGUCCUCAACUGAAGGUGUCAAGGCUGUGCUUACUUUCAGAAUGUCUGAACAAAUUUUAAAGUGCACUAAGAAGUUGCUACAGCACAAACCCUAAAUGAGGCAGUUCUAAACAUGUUGCAACCUAAUCCAUUUUCUAACAUCUACAAAGGCCUUGUAAAGUUUGAGGAUCAACUAGCUUUGUUCUUUUGUUCUUUAACACUGCUGACAUAUUUGUCAGAAACCACUAUCCUGUUUGUUGAUGUUACAUUUCGUGUGGUUCCUGCCAUCUUCCAUGGUGGUCAGCUGUUCAAUAUUUCACUGGAGUUCAGAACAAUGAUCCUGCCUGUUCUGCAUGUCUUAAUGACUGGAUGAAAAGAAGAAAUGCCAAAAACCAGGGUGCAUUACCUACAGGCACCUGCUUAUGUUAGGAUUAUUAAAUUAUAUUUGUAGCAUGGAACAAAAUUUUUAUUUUGUUCCAUGCUACUAUGUAAUUAUUUAACCAACCAUUAAAAUAGUACAGAUAAAAUGCAAUCAAUUGAAAAAAUUUUCUUUAAAAUAUAGCUUUUAAAUAGGUUGUCUAUCCAAUGAAAGUUGAGAUGCUGCAGAUCCAAAAUGGUUCUUAACCUAGAAGAACUGUGUCAAGAUUGUUAAAGGCAGCAUGAGCGUCUUUGUGGGUAUGAAGAAAAGCUUGCAAGUGAUGAAUGGACUCCAACCAAAUUUCUUGAAGCUGCAUCAUUCCUCUGCAACAUAUGAAAAUGCAAAGUGAUCAGGAAGUUCAAGAAUUCAUUGAACUGGAACAAACUGCUGAUGAAGAAUCUCAAUCAAAUGAAAAAACUGCUGUGGUGGACAUAGCAAUCAAAAAUGUCUGCAAAUCUUCAAGUUGUAGUUUUCCCUUGCGGCCAUCUUUGUCUAUGCCAGUGAUGUGCUGUGUAAGUCACCAUGUGAUGGUAUUGGUGGCACUUUAAAACAAUUAACUGCAAUGACCAGCUGGCCCAUAAAUGACCAGAUAUUGAUUUAAAGGGAUUAUGUUUUUUUAAGAUUAGUAAAAGAAAGACUGAAAGAAUUGCAUACCACUUUGAAAAAAUGUUUUUAGCAAAGUACAACAAUUCCUGGAACUAUCCUGGAACUAGAAUCUAUAGAUGUUGUUACCUCUAAACAAACAAGUGGAAAUUAUGAUAUACCAGGCAUGUUUUCUUUCUCUAGUAUUCAAAGUAUUCAAUCUAAUUAGCUAGUUAAAAUCUAUACAUUAAAAUUUAGUGAUUAUAUUCUGUGUAAAAAUGAUAUGUUGGAUUGGUAUGAUAAAUGAUAUUGAAAACAUUGAGCUCAUGGUCCUUUUAAAAAAUUUUUCUGGGCGUUUAGAGCAGAUAAGUGUUGGGUUUCUAUUACCAACAUAAUUUGUAUAAUUGAUGUACCUGUAACAACAACUAGACGUAUGUAUACUUUGAAGCAUCUAAGCAAAUCUUAAAAUAAUCUUAAAACUUUAAAAUUUUUUGUAUUACUUUGUAAAUAAAUAAAACGGAACAAGUACAAACCAAAAAAUAUUUGGAAGGCCAUAUUUUCAAGGUUAUCUUUACAAUAUUAAAAAUUUAAUUAAAAAUUUUUUUUUUGAGAAAAUAAGUGGGGCAUGGCCCCAGUGCCCCAGGCAACGGAGCCUCUGAUUGUCUACCCUGAAAACAAUUUUAACACACGUUCAUCAGGAUUACACAAAUACUGAAAGUUUCAGAGCUCCAGUAGUGAAAAAUCUAUCAAAAGAUUCCACUACAAAAAAGUAGGGCUACAAAAAAAUUCCUCCCCCCCCCCCCCCUCCUAAUGUCUUAGGGCUCUGAAAACAAUUUUAACAUGCGCAUUCAUUGAAACGCGCAUCAUUCACAGAAAUUCAAAAUUUUUCAGAGCUUCAGCAAGUUUGGAAGGUAGCAAAAAAUCAAUUGCAAUUUUCCGCUACAAAAAAGUGGGGACACAUAAAAAUUUCCAUAUAUGCGUAACUGUGCCCUGUUACGCAUAUAUGGAAAUCCACAUAUUUGCAGAUCAAAAUCUUUAUAUUUUUUGAUAGAUCAAUAAAUAUAGAAUAAUGUGUAAUAUAUAUUUUUUUAAUAUCAUCAAGGUCACAUAAGCAUUAAAAACAGGUAUAUAAAAAAUUGCUUAAAUUUGUUUAAAUUGAUAAUUACAGGUACCUAAUAAUAAAUUUUUACACUUAUCAUCACUUCAUUGGAUACAUCACCUCCGAAAAUAGCCAGUUACAAGUUUUUAACCUGUUAACAGCCCAUGCCAUAGUAUUAUGCAAUCUAAAAGUGGUUCACAAAUGUCCAUGCCAUAAUAUUACGGUUUUUUUCAUCUCUUUCUUGUUCAUCAGUAAUAUCAGUAAUUAUACAUCUACUUGUCUCAAAGUUUAUUACUACAUAAUUAAUGAGCUUUUGUUUUAAUAACUCAUUUUUACACAUGUUCACUUUAAUUUUAAAUAUGAAAAAUGAGGAAGUUCUUUCAGUGCAAAAAAAAAUUACUAAAAUGUAAAUAUUUACUCAGUAAAAGAUAGAAAAUUAUACAUUUAAUGAAUCAAUUAUGAAAAGACAUACUUAAUGAAUGAUUUUUGAAAAUGAUAAUAAAAGAUUAAUAUUCAAAGAAGGUGUGCAGUAUGUUACAAACACAAUAUUUAAAAAGAUUCAAUAUAUGAAUGUUUUCUUUGUGUAGCUCCAUACUUUUCCAAUUGUGAUACAAAAAGUGAAUAUUAGUGAAUACAUUUUUAUAUUUUUGUGUUUAUGUAGUAUGAUUUAUAUAUUCUUAAACCUGAAUAAUGACGUUUUGUAGUGUUUAAGAAUGUUAAAAAUUGUAAAAAAACUUUAUUUAUUACAUUAGUAAAAAAAUAGGAUGAUUUUAAAAACACGGGACAUUUAGAGACCACUUUGAAAAAGAAAGCUGGACUAACAACUACCGUAUUUAAAAAAAUACGAGACUGUUAAAAGGUUAAAUAAAAAAAUCAAACUUUUUUUAAGUUAUGUGACUUAAAACCUCCAAAUAGAUGUUGCAAUUCUGAGGGGACAAGAGGGGACUAGGCAAUAUCUGCUAAAUGUAAAACGGUCAUUUUUCAGGAUAUUUUUUGAGCCAGCGGCUAAAGUUUUCAAGAAGUUCUCAUUUUACUAAGCACUUUCAACUGUACAAAAAUCAGCAAAAUCUGAGAUGUAUGGUGACAUGAUCAUUUGACAUGGAAUUACCCAUUUCAUAGUUUAGUCAUUUUAAUUCUGAAAAAAAAAAUUUUUAUAAAGUGAUUUUUAAUAAUACUUUUUAUAAAAUAUAACUAUUGGAAGACGUAUUAAACUUCUGGUUUUAUUAAGUGCUGAUAAAAAUUACUGAUGAAUUUCUGAAAAUAUGUCAAAAUCUUUUUUAAUUUUAUUUUCUGUUUGUUAAAUAUCUGAACCCUGUCACUAUAUCAAAAUAUUGCUUUAUUCCAUACUCUCCAUGUCACCAUAUCAAAAUGUUGCUUUAUUUUGUUCUCUGUCACUAUAUCAAAAUAAUACUGAUCAUACUUUGUCAAUUUUAACUCUGCAUCAUAAAAUUUUCUGGUUUCAUGAAACUCAAUAAUUGUAUUUGUUUUGAAUACUGUUUUUUCUUGAGGUCUUUAGUGCCCAAUUAUAAUUUUAGGUCUAAAGUCCCCAAUGAAAUUGAAUAGGUCAAGUUGGAUAAAAUCUACUUUCAAUAAUAAGUUUCUUUAAAUACAGAACAUAAAAAAUAUAGAAUAUACUAACACUAAAUUAUAUUAAAAUCUUCCCUAAAAUUCAAAUUUACGUUAAGUUUUUUAU